GAUGAACGCUGGCGGCGUGCCUAAUACAUGCAAGUCGAGCGAACAGACGAGGAGCUUGCUCCUCUGACGUUAGCGGCGGACGGGUGAGUAACACGUGGAUAACCUACCUAUAAGACUGGGAUAACUUCGGGAAACCGGAGCUAAUACCGGAUAAUAUAUUGAACCGCAUGGUUCAAUAGUGAAAGACGGUUUUGCUGUCACUUAUAGAUGGAUCCGCGCCGCAUUAGCUAGUUGGUAAGGUAACGGCUUACCAAGGCAACGAUGCGUAGCCGACCUGAGAGGGGGAUCGGCCAACCUGGAACUGAGACACGGUCCAGACUCCUACGGGAGGCAGCAGUAGGGAAUUUUCCGAAAUGGGCGAAAGCCUGACGGAGCAACGCCGCGUGAGUGAUGAAGGUCUUCGGAUCGUAAAACUCUGUUAUUGGGGAAGAAAAAAUGUGUAAGUAACUAUGCACGUCUUGACGGUACCUAAUCAGAAAGCCACGGCUAACUACGU
rnacentral:rRNA from 1 species